rnacentral:tRNA from 1 species
GGAAUUUUCGAUUGGGUCAGGAAUCCAAGUUUGGGGCAUUUGAUAUGGAUCUAUAGAUAUGGAUCUAUAGAUCAAUCUACAAUAUUAUC